GAGGUAUUCAGUGAUAGCAACAGAAAACAGACUAAUACAAAUAACCAUCAUUUAACUUAGGUUAAUAUAAGAUUUUUAAGUUACCAAAAAUUAAAUAUAAAAAUAUUUAAAAGUAGACAUCUUGGCUAGGUGCAGUGGCUCACGCCCAUAAUCCCAGCACUUUGGGAGGCCGAGGCCACCAUGCCCGGCCACACGUAAGUGUUUUGAUUAGUAAAUCCAGGUAGAAGUUGUAUGUGUGAACUGUAAAUAAUGUUGACAACUCUUAAGAAUUGUCUGUUUUAAUUAAACCAAGAAACUUAAACUAGCUUUCUAUUUACUAAAGAUUAUCUCAGAUCACGUGACCUUGAAAAACAUUUAGAUGGGCUCCAGUUUUUCUAAGAAAAUGCUCCAUUUAUGGAAGCAAUUCUUUUCUUUCUUUUAACCAAAUCUUUGCAUAGGUACCAAAUAACACAUUUGUUUAGGAUGAGAGCUGCCCACUGCCCCCGCCAAAAAAAAGUACUUUUAUAUACAAAAGUCCAAAUUUCCAAAGGUAUAUGUACUUUAAUUGUGACUUGAACUCAAGGUAAAUAAAUUAAAUAAUUAAUAAAUUAACCUUAGCUUACUGGACGGCCACCAUCUUAUAUGCUGUUCCCUUGACUG
rnacentral:lncRNA from 10 species